rnacentral:rRNA from 1 species
AAGCUCGUAGUUGAAUUUCGGGGUUAGUAGGUUGGUCAUGCCUCUGGUAUGUACUGGUCUCACUGAUUUCCUCCUUCCUUAUGAACCGUAAUGCCAUUAAUUUGGUGUUGCGGGGAAUUUGGACUGUUACUUUGAAAAAAUUGAGUGUUUAAAGCAAGCUAACGCUUGAAUACAUUAGCAUGGAAUAAUGAAAAUAGGACGUUCGAUCUUAUUUUGUUGGUUUCUAGGAUUGACGUAAUGAUUAAUGGGAUAGUUGGG